GUUGGAAAACCUCAGUUGGUAGAACAUGGGACUCUUAAUUUCAAGGCCAUGGGUUUGAGCCCCAUAUUGGGCAACA